rnacentral:rRNA from 1 species
AUUGAACGCUGGCGGCAUGCCUUACACAUGCAAGUCGAACGGCAGCACGGGAGCAAUCCUGGUGGCGAGUGGCGAACGGGUGAGUAAUAUAUCGGAACGUGCCCAGUCGUGGGGGAUAACGCAGCGAAAGCUGUGCUAAUACCGCAUACGAUCUACGGAUGAAAGCGGGGGAUCGCAAGACCUCGCGCGAUUGGAGCGGCCGAUAUCAGAUUAGCUAGUUGGUGAGGUAAAGGCUCACCAAGGCGACGAUCUGUAGCUGGUCUGAGAGGACGACCAGCCACACUGGGACUGAGACACGGCCCAGACUCCUACGGGAGGCAGCAGUGGGGAAUUGUGGACAAUGGGCGCAAGCCUGAUCCAGCAAUGCCGCGUGCAGGAUGAAGGCCUUCGGGUUGUAAACUGCUUUUGUACGGAACGAAAAGCCCUGGGUUAAUACCCUGGGGUCAUGACGGUACCGUAAGAAUAAGCACCGGCUAACUACGUGCCAGCCGCCGCCGUAAAAC